UCAUCUAGUAUAUAAACACACGAGAAAGCUUCGUUCAGGAAGAGUGCUCGAUUAACAAUUGUAAACGAAAAUGGCAGAAAGUAUUUUGAAAAUGUAUGAUUACUUGGUAAUUGGUGCAGGAUCUGGUGGUUUAGCAAGUGCAAGAAGAGCUGCAUCGUACGGUAUUAAAACUGCAAUCAUUGAACAUGGCAGACUUGGUGGUACUUGUGUAAGUUGAUCAAGGGGGUAUAUAUAUAUUAUAUUAUUAAAAAUAUCAAGCAGUCGAAAAGGGCUUAUGUAAGGAAUAGGUAUUUUGUACGAUUGUUAACGCUAGUUGUUUUGACCAAUUGUAUUGAGUAUAUUUACAAUUAUUAAUGCAAUUUGUCAGACUGUACAACUUCAUUUCCAUGUUAUGUAACUGUGAGUCACUAAGUGUCAGUGAUCAGGCUAAUUAGUUGGUCUUGCUUAUCAUAAUUGCUACCAUACCCAGCCUAUAAUUUAUAUAUUCUACUUUUUCAAAGCUUAUAGUGGGCAGUUGUUAAGCUGCAUGUGGGGGGAGGGGUGGGGGGGGAGUUGCUAAUAAGUAUAGGUUAUUUUGAGGCAACGAGGGGAUAUGUGAUUUAUUCACCGAGGCGCGCAGCGCCGAGGUGAAUAAACACAUAUCCCCGAGGUGCCUCAAAAUAACGUACUUAUUUUUCACACUUGCGAGGUCGCGUUAAUGAGUCAGAAAAGAAAUAAUUCUUAAUGCCAUAUUGCCUUCGCGAUGUUGUUUUUUCUCAUUUUUUGUGCUGCAAAGACAUUGCAGGUGAAUAUUAGAGGGGAUUAUUAAUUGCAGGUGAAUAUUAGAGGGGAUUAUUAAACGGAAAUUGAUUAGAGGGGAAUAUUGGAUAUAUUCCCCGACAAGAACAAAGGAAACCGAGCAGGGUGAAAAAUAAGCAGGUAUAGCUAUAGGGCUCUGGGCUCAGGCCAGAGUACGACAGUUUUGAAUGAGAUCUUGGGUGUACACUGUACAAAACGAAAAUGUAAGUGUGCAAACAUCUAUUGGGCCGUUCCAGAAAAGAUCAACACUCCCUCCACGGAGGAAAUUUCUGCCGUUCGGAGGGGGAGGGGAG